rnacentral:tRNA from 1 species
ACUUAAAUAGUUUAAAAAAAACUUUGAUUUGUGGAGUCAAAAAUAUGAAUAGUCAUUUUAGGUC